CAACUACUCUCUCCGUCCGGAAAAGCUUGUCUCUCAAAUGGAUGUAUUUUGCAUCAAAUUAGUGUUAGAUACAUUCAUUUGAGAAACAAGCUUGGGACAAGCUUUUCCGGACAGAGGGAAUACAAC
rnacentral:pre_miRNA from 1 species